UCCUGACUUUGUGUCACUGUCCAUCUGCUCUGCUGUAUCAGAUUGCUGAACAGCUGGAAAAGAAAACUUCAUGUCUAUACUCAGGAGAUGCAUGUUGAGAUCAUAGAGGGGCCUGAGAACAUCUGUGCCCUCGCUGAUACAAUAAAUGCUCCAGAACCUGACAUUUUGCAUGCUGAAAUCCAGCUGUGCCACCCACAAUCCUCUGUUUGGCACCCAGGCUGCCCACAGAGUGAGUCACACGAGAGGGAAGUGUCUCCAAAUUAGAUGCUAAUUGCAACAAAUGACUGAGCAAGAAGUGACCUAUUUCAAUUUAAUAAGAAUCAAAGUUUUAAUCCUCUUCCUCCUUCCGUGCUGGGGUAUACACAAGGGUUAAAGAUUUCCCUAGGCAUGGCAGAGUGCUAUUAGAGGCAGUUAGGGCAUUUGUAUUUAAGCUGCUGUAUUUCUCCCUGAGCUGUCAGUAGGGAGCCUUUAAUCUCAGUCUCAGCCUGUCCACAAACCAGCACUAGCUGUAGUAUGUUAAUAAAAACUCUUUACUUUCUCA